UGGCCUACCAAGGCGUCGACGGGUAGCCGGCCUGAGAGGGUGACCGGCCACAUUGGGACUGAGAUACGGCCCAGACUCCUACGGGAGGCAGCAGUGGGGAAUAUUGCACAAUGGACGCAAGUCUGAUGCAGCGACGCCGCGUGGGGGAUGAAGGCUUUCGGGUUGUAAACUCCUUUCAGUACAGAAGAAGCAUUUUUGUGACGGUAUGUGCAGAAGAAGCGCCGGCUAACUACGUGCCAGCAGCCGCGGUAAUACGUAGGGCGCGAGCGUUGUCCGGAAUUAUUGGGCGUAAAGAGCUCGUAGGCGGUUUGUUGCGCCUGCUGUGAAAGACCGGGGCUUAACUUCGGGGUUGCAGUGGGUACGGGCAGACUAGAGUGUGGUAGGGGUAAUUGGAAUUCCUGGUGUAGCGGUGGAAUGCGCAGAUAUCAGGAGGAACACCGAUGGCGAAGGCAGGUUACUGGGCCAUUACUGACGCUGAGGAGCGAAAGCGUGGGUAGCGAACAGGAUUAGAUACCCUGGUAGUCCACGCUGUAAACGUUGGGCACUAGGUGUGGGGCCUUUUCCACGGGUUCUGCGCCGUAGCUAACGCUUUAAGUGCCCCGCCUGGGGAGUACGGCCGCAAGGUUAAAACUCAAAGGAAUUGACGGGGGCCCGCACAAGCGGCGGAGCAUGCGGAUUAAUUCGAUGCAACGCGAAGAACCUUACCAAGGCUUGACAUACACUGCGAUGUGCCAGAGAUGGUGCAGCCUUCGGGGUGGUGUACAGGUGGUGCAUGGUUGUCGUCAGCUCGUGUCGUGAGAUGUUGGGUUAAGUCCCGCAACGAGCGCAACCCUUGUCCUGUGUUGCCAGCAUGUUGUGGUGGGGACUCACGGGAGACUGCCGGGGUUAACUCGGAGGAAGGUGGGGAUGACGUCAAAUCAUCAUGCCCCUUAUGUCUUGGGCUUCACGCAUGCUACAAUGGCCGGUACAGAGGGUUGCGAGCCUGUGAGGGUGAGCUAAUCCCUUAAAGCUGGUCUCAGUUCGGAUUGGGGUCUGCAACUCGACCCCAUGAAGUCGGAGUCGCUAGUAAUCGCAGAUCAGCAACGCUGCG
rnacentral:rRNA from 1 species